rnacentral:lncRNA from 1 species
CCCCACUCUACCCACAGCCCGGAGGAUGCCCUUGCCUCAUCCCCCUUCCACACCUGGGCCACAGGUGGGUGCACCCAUCCAUCAAAGCAGCUCCAUUUCUCCUCUAAGAAGGACAAGGACUGGGAAAUGUUUGCACACAGAUUCCUACUUCAAGGUCAAAGCAGGCGACAAAAGAAAACUGUGGCAAAAUUAAAGCUGGGUUUGAAAGGAGGCUGGAACACAUGCUGUGUUUUAGGUGGCUACAGGGGAUAGAGAUAAUACUCCAAGACUUCAAUUUCAUGAAUAUAAAGCAGUACCUUUUUUUUCCCCUUUUCUUUUCAAAUGUUUUCACCUUGUGCUAUGAGACACUGGGUACACACAGAGCAUUAUAAAAAGAACGCUAGGAGACAAGCUUUGUCUCAUCACUUUUUUUUUUCUCUCCGCACUUCAGAGUUGGCCAGAACACUUUAGCUCUGUAAUUGGCCAAGUCUCAAUGCCUGCAAAGUGUUUCUGGAACUAUUUAUUGUAUCCUCUUCUGUGACUUGCCUUUAACGGCACACACAGCCCACCAAGGGACUUUCCCUUCGUGUUCAGCACUUAGCACUGAAUCUCCCUGGCAAGGCUCUCCAUGACUGCACAAUCUCACACCUGCCAGUGCUGGAAAGUUCUGGAAAUAAGGACUCUGCCAGACAUUCCUUCAGAGUACUUCACCUCAGCCAGUUCCUCAUUCUCCCAGCCAUUGCACAACUGCCGCUGGAGCCAAGCUGGAGCCAAGCAUUACCGUGAGCUGCGUGGGUACCAGAACUCAUCUGGGGGCUUAUUUUGUCCCGAGCUUCGCUCAUCUGGCAGUCAGAGGCAAAGAUUCAAGUUUGGAAUCCUGUUUCCCGCUUCAUUUCCUAGAGGACUUGGCCCCCUGCCUUCUUUUGGACUCUGUGACUUAAGAUAUUUAUCAUUUCAGGGCCAGGCUUUGCCAAGGGUAUUUUGGUCUCAGGCAGAAAACAAAAAUAGACUCAUUUCAAAAACAAUCCAACUGUUGUUAUGUUUCUGAUUUUUGAAUCCCACCCCCCAACCCGUUUAAAAGAAAUUCCUG